rnacentral:rRNA from 1 species
GAUGAACGCUAGCUACAGGCUUAACACAUGCAAGUCGAGGGGAAACGACAUCGAAAGCUUGCUUUUGAUGGGCGUCGACCGGCGCACGGGUGAGUAACGCGUAUCCAACCUGCCCACCACUUGGGGAUAACCUUGCGAAAGUAAGACUAAUACCCAAUGAUAUCUCUAGAAGACAUCUGAAAGAGUUUAAAGAUUUAUCGGUGAUGGAUGGGGAUGCGUCUGAUUAGCUUGUUGGCGGGGUAACGGCCCACCAAGGCUACGAUCAGUAGGGGGUCUGAGAGGAAGGUCCCCCACAUUGGAACUGAGACACGGUCCAAACUCCUACGGGAGGCAGCAGUGAGGAAUAUUGGUCAAUGGGCGAGAGCCUGAACCAGCCAAGUAGCGUGCAGGAUGACGGCCCUAUGGGUUGUAAACUGCUUUUAUAAGGGAAUAAAGUGAGCCUCGUGAGGCUUUUUGCAUGUACCUUAUGAAUAAGGACCGGCUAAUUCCGUGCCAGCCGCCGCAGUAA